AUUUAAUGUUUUAUUAAUCUGAUUGGCACAGGUUAAAAUCCUAUCACAUACCUAUAUUAAUUGGUUUUUAUUAAAUGAAAAGACUAAAUAUCCUCAAAUAGUAUCAUUUAUUUAAAUUACAGAAGGACAUUUCUGUAAUUUCUUAACCGAAUUGGUGACUCGAUUGAGGGUGACACCACCUCAGUAAAACACUUAAUAAAUAGUAAGUAUGAAUAUAUAAA
rnacentral:lncRNA from 1 species